rnacentral:rRNA from 1 species
AUGAUUUUCCACUUCACUCCGAAAUUCUUUGAACCUUUCAACUAUUUCAGACUUAUGUUUCAUCAAGUAGAUAUACCCAUAUCUGCUCAAAUCAUCUGUGAAGGUCAGAAAAUAACGAUACCCGCCACGAGCCCUAAUACUCAUUGGUCUGCAUACAUCAGUAUGUAUUAUUUCCAACAAGUUUGUUGCUCGUUCCAUUGUUCCGAGGAACGGAGUUUUAGUCAUCUCGCCAAAGGCACGGUUCGCAAGCAUCAAAUGAUUCAUAAACAAGUGAUUCCGAAAAUCCAUCUUUAUGGAGUUUCUUCAUGCGCUUUACACCGAUAUGACCCAAACGGCGGUGCCACAAAUAAGUUGCACUAUCAUUAUUAA